rnacentral:rRNA from 1 species
CACGAAGUUAGCCGGAGCUUAUUCUCCCGUUACCGUCAUCAUCGUCACGGGCAAAAGAACUUUACAACCCUAAGGCCUUCACCAUUCACGCGGCAUGGCUGCGUCAGGGUUGCCCCCAUUGCGCAAGAUUCCCCACUGCUGCCUCCCGUAGGAGUCUGGGCCGUGUCUCAGUCCCAGUGUGGCUGAUCGUCCUCUCAGACCAGCUACGGAUCGAAGCCUUGGUAGGCCGUUACCCCACAACUAGCUAAUCCGACGCGGGCCGCUCCCAAGGCGAUAAAUCUUUCCCCCUUGCGGGCUCAUACGGUAUUAGCUGCAGUUUCCCGCAGUUAUUCCGUACCUCAGGGCACGUUCCCACGCGUUACUCACCCGUCCGCCACUCCCGUAUUGCUACGAGCGUUCGACUUGCAUGUGUUAAGCCUGCCGCCAGCGUUCGUCCUGAGCCAGGAUCAAACUCU